rnacentral:lncRNA from 1 species
GGCGGACGCGGGGCGCGGACUACGCUCUCCAGGGUGCCGCGGGGCGGCGGCGCGGUGCGCAGGCGCCGGCGGGCCGGUGUUGUUUUGAGACGGCGUCACUGGAGGCUGGAGCCGGCGGCGCCCCUCGUCCGUCCCGAGCCCCGCUGGGGGCCGCGCUGAGACAGAUUGGAUCAGCUUCUGGCCCAGUGAAGACACAUCUCUGUAGACAAUCAGGCUGACUUAAUUCCUCCACCGAAUAUGUCCUGUGAAGCUAGAGGAGGCCUCUGAGCAAAACUUUAUUUCUGAAAACUGGAGCAAAUUUCGUGGCUCUUUAUCCCUGUUGCAGUUGUACUAGAUCCAUUAGCAUCUUCAUAAUUUGAUAGUAAAUUUGCGUGGUUUUUUUUUGUCCGUCCUGCCCAAAACUACUUUUUUUUUUUUUGAAUACCCUCCGUCUAAGAAGGCAAUGCCAACAGUAUCCAGCAUCUCUGGGCUGUUAGAAAAAAAGUCUAUCUGCUCUUAGCGGGUCUUUGUCCUUUGGUGACUGAGAAUACAAGCUGGAGAGGAUUUUGUGAGGAGGUGAAUCUGGCCAUUGAGCUAAG